rnacentral:rRNA from 1 species
GACGGAGGAUCCGAGCGUUAUCCGGAGUGACUGGGCGUAAAGAGUUGCGUAGGCGGUUUAUUAAGCAGAUAGUGAAAUCUCAGGGCUCAACCUUGAGGCUAUUAUCUGAACUGGUAAACUUGAGAAUGAGAGAGGUAAUUGGAAUUCCCAGUGUAGCGGUGAAAUGCGUAGAUAUUGGGAAGAACACCAAUGGCGUAGGCAGAUUACUGGCUCAUUUCUGACGCUAAGGCACGAAAGCGUGGGGAGCGAACCGG